rnacentral:miRNA from 1 species
CAUUUUCACAUGUAGCACUGAC